rnacentral:lncRNA from 1 species
CCAAAAUUAUCUUCAUUUUGAUCUCUCCCUCUCUCUCUCUCUCUGUGUAUGAUAUGGAUUAUUUCUGUGCGAUAUAACAAUUGAAUCAGUUCAAGUGUGUUCCACUUACAUUGGCUAAAAUACAAAACCUCUUCUUCCAUAUACAAAAAGGAUGUAUUUGUGGAUAGUUUGGAUGGUUUAGUGAACUCAUUAAAAAUAGCAUCAGUAGAUAAUCAGACUGUCCAAGUAACAGAUAUUUGUUACCAUUACUACCAUUUGCCCAUUACUACGAUUUGACUUUAAACAGCAAUAAUACAGAAUUAUUUAUAUUUCGCACAAAAAUAUGUAUAAAAGUAUUAUUUUAAAGUAUUUAAAACAUAUCCAGGAAGCAUCACGAAAUUGUCAGUCUUCCCAUAUCCUAUAUAUUUAUUGAAAAUUUUGAGAAUUUUAUUAUACAUCCAGUACAUGUUUUAGAUGUUUAUUGUUUUAUAACUUUGUAUUUUUUUGUAUCCUUUUUUUACAAGGUACAUUUUUGAGAAUCACAAGCAUCUAUAAUCUGACAUUCUAGCUACAUACUAUAGGUUUGUAUUCUCAAAUUAUGAUCCAACAUCUAAUUUAAUAUUUGAUAACUCUGCUCAAAAAAUUACAUUUAAUAAAAACAAAAUAACAUAUAAUUUAUGCUUAAGAAUUUUUAGAAAGGCCAAGAUAAACAGUUUACACAAAUUGAAGAUAUUUUAAGUAAUCUUAGUAUUACUCUAUAGAAACAAAUAUUCUUUUUAUUUAUUUUACGCUGCAACCACAAGGGAUAUUAGUGACAUAAAAACAUAAUACAGGUAAAGUUACAAUAGCUGACAAUAAGUAUAAUCUAGUGUCUUUUAUAUAACUUACAUUCAUGUUUACUCCUAAGGCUUCCUUUAUAUACUUUGGGAUAUUGUGCUUUUUAUUGUAGCUUCAUAUAUUUUGCACUGAAUUAAUAUAUGCUUCACAGAGAGCUUUGUUUGGCAAUUUUCGCAUAUUGGUGGCACAGUUCGCGUAAAUAGGUGCUUAUGGGUUAAGUUACUGUGUCCCAGCCGCAAAUGUGUUAUUUUCACUUGGUCGGGUCUAUCUGCUGUUGGCCGAAGCCACGGUUUCACUAAUUGUUUAAUUUCUUUGAGUUUGUUUUAUGGUGUACUCCACUUAUUUUGCCACGCACUUAACCCAUUACAUUUUAUUUCUAACUUCAAAUCAUAAGUAGAAACCUCGUUAAUAUGAAUGGAGUCCUGGCAGAAGGAUGUCGAGCAGGCUAGUUGAUCAUCAUCAUCUUGGUGUUACAGCCCUUAAAGAGCCUCGAUCUUCUCAAGCGUUCUACGCCAUUCUGUUCUGUCCCUUGCUUGCACUUUCCAGUAAACAGCUAGUUGAUCUGCUUCUGUUAUUUCCUUGUAUACCCGAAUGCAAUGGGACAAACAUAAAGUCGAAAGUGACCUUAUUUUCAGUUAGGGUCGCUAUAUCUGAUUGAAUAGAUUGAAAAGCGACAUUUGAAUUUGUCAAAAAAAUAUUUUUUUCAAAUUAUCAUGAAGAAAUUUUGCAGAGUUACAUUAACGAGAGAUUAUGUAGAAUAAAACAAAAAUGUGAAAGAAAAUAAUUUAUUAUAGAAUUGAAAUGUGCUUUAUUGUUACUGAAAAUUUUACAAUUUUCUAGACAAAGCUUACAUAGAGUCAGAAAAAUAGUAAAUUGUAAUCUUGUUAUUGUUAUUUAAUAACAAAUACAAUUUACGAGUUUAGCUAAAACUAAGUCUUUAAACUGAAGAUUCACUAAUUCUGUAACAUGGUCGUGUUUCUCCAAUAAAUGAGCACAUAAGUAAAAUUGAAAAAAAAGUUACAUUCCUUGCAGCAAUAUCUUUGAGGAGUUUCAUAUUCUAUAUAGUUUGCAUACUUUGUAUGCACGUUUCUAUUGUGCCGAUUGAGUCCGAAACUCCUUAUUACACUCACGGCAAAACACUCCCAUUUUCCUUUAUUUUUUAAGAAAGAAACCCACAAUAAUUAUUAAAAUACGAAUCAACAGCAGACUGCCAAAAAAUAAUUUCUUAGGUUAUGUUAUGUUAUACCAAAACAAUCAAACAGCAACAGCACAAAUCACAUGUGGGUGAUGACGUCACGGCACGAUCUGCGAAGUCCUCCUUUUAGGCGGUCCUCUAACUGGGGGCACAUAACAUAACCUAAUCCUAAUAUUUACAUUUGUAAAGAAUAUCCUGUUUGUUUUUAUUUUUUAUUGUCGAUUGUGCAGCGAAAUUGUGAUAGCAAAUCAAAUAUAAAGUAGUUUAUCGCCUACAGAACUGAAUUAGUCCAUAGCAGUUAUCAGUUUUUCUUUCUUGGGAAGCUUAUACAUGUAACUUGUAUUGUUGUAAAUUGUGGGAGUAGGGCAUACAGGGAAAAGUCUUAUUUUGUACUGUUCCAAAGGCUCCCCAUGCAAUACAUUUAAAUGAAUUAUCCAAACAAAGCCGGGGACAAUGGAUAAAAGCCACAAGAAGAACAGAUAUAACUACGGUGACCAUAUGUACUUAUUUAAGUAGGACAGUACUUAUUUUUAAAUAUUGUCCUAAUGUACUUUAAAACCUUUCUAAGGACACGCGAAUGUACUUAUUUUUUCUAAAAAAUGAAUAUUUUUAUCUUUUACUACUUUUAAACAAAUUUCUUUGUAUACUGUUCCAGGUAUUGCAGCUUUUGUGUCUUGAUGGUUUCCAAUAUUUCCAUGCGAUCUUCAGGUACCUUCACCCACAGUUCAAAUGCUUCCAACUUUUUAGUAGUCGAACUUGCCAGCCUAACUCUCAAGUCUUAAUUAUUUCAGUUCUCUUGCACAAACUACCUUUCUCAUUUUAUUGAAGUUGGUUCUUGCCUUCUCUAUUCGAACUUUAAUUUCUUUGGAGUAAUCGUUUGUGUGAUUAAUUAUUGUGCCAAGAUAGUUGUAGUUUUCAACUUGUUCUAAAUUCAGGCUUUUAUCAUUAUUCUGGGUUUUUGAUAUCCUCAUAAAUUUAGUUUUCUUGAUGUUUACUGAUAAUCCAUAUUGUUCUCCAUACUCAACUAUCUUGCUCAUUAGCUUUUGGAGGUCUUGGAGGUUUUCCGCUAUUAUGAUAGUGUCGUCCGCAUAUCUAAUGUUGUUAAUUGGCGUUCCAUUUAGGUACCUUUAUUCCUGCUGUUUCUUCCUCAAGAACUUUUUUCAUAAUUUCUUCAGAGUAUGUAUUUAAUAGUAGUAGUGACAAUACACACCCCUGUCGCACUCCUCUUUUAAUUUUGGACUCUUCUGAUGUGUGUUCGUUAAUGCGUAUGUGUGCCUGCUGUUUAUAAUAUAGAUUUGUUAUAAUUCAAAGGUCAUUGUAUUGUAAUUGUUUUGCUUUGAGGACGUCCAUUAGCUCUUUGUGGCGGACUUUAUCGAAAGCCUUGUUGUAAUCUAUGAAACAGACGUACAUAUACUGGUUCACAUCCAAGCAUCUCUGGAUUAGUAAUGUAAAUCCAAAGUGGGUUUCUUCAAUAUUCAUAUCAAGUGUGGUAAAUGCGUUUAUGAAUGAUCUUUAAAAACAUUUUUAAGUGUGUGAGACAUCAGGCUUAUGGUGCGGUGGUCGUACACAAAACUUCACUGCACAAGUGAAACAUUUUUACACAAAAUGUGUAACCUACCUAGAAAACUGGAGUACAAAUUUUCAUGAAUUUAAACUAUUCAAAAGCAUAGAUCUAAAGUGGGCUCCACACUCUCGGCGAAGUUACUUCGCCAAAGUUGUCCGAAGUACCCUCUCUACACACUCGUUCUACUUCGCGAGGAAGUGCGAUACCGACAAAGAGCGGUGCGAUACCGACAAAGAUCCCUUUGACCAGACCGACAGAAAAUGGAAGUAGAACGAAGUGAGGCAAAGUUACACAAGGUGGCCGUCUAAACUUUCGUACUUGUUGAACCUCGAUCGACUACGGCGAGAGUGUGGAGCUCGCAUAAGAAGUGAAAUAACAUGGAACGAUGUUUGUUAUUCUCUAGAAGCUUUUAAAUUGUAUAUCAAGGCAACCAUGUUAAACGAAGAUCAACUCUUUGACGAACUGGGAAUUUUGAAAGACGUGGCUACAAGUGAAAAAAUUGCUGAGUGGAACAGAAAAGAAAAAAAUAUUCAGGAUCGAUGGCUUAAAGUUUUUAAGUGUGUAGAUCAAUUCAAACUGAAAAACUUACAAUUAUUAUGCGAAUUUAUUUUUUCCCUUCCGGGUACUAGUGCGGCUAUCGAGUGUUUAUUUUCUGUAAUAAAUAAUUAUUAUUGGCCGUCGGAAAAGUCACAAAUGUCCAUAUCCACUCUCAAGGCAGCGAUGCUGGUGAACGCAAAUUUUGAUGAGACUUGUAUGAAAUGUUUCAUUUACUUCAGUCGAAGCCGGCUUCUUAAAUUAAUUUUAAGUUCAGAAAAAUAUGAAUGAUGCAAAAAACCGGAAGAAGAUGAGGCUAUUCCAGGUCUCUCAUCUAAAAACUCUUAAUUACAGGCUUGUAACUUUUUCAAAGUGAAUGUAAUGUGUUAUAUUUAGUUUAAUUGAUAUAAUUUUUUAUGUUUAGCUACAUAGUUCAUUUAUUUUUUAAUGCCAAAAAGUUAUAUUUGUCCGAUAACAAGAUACAUUUUGCGUUUUUAAUACAUUUUUGUUUUUUGUACUUUUUUUUCUUUAAAAAGAUAUGGUCACCGUAGAUAUAACGGAACUAAAAUUAAAAUAUGAAAAGUAAACAUUUUAUAAGUGGAACAACCACCAGAUAUUUAAAAGGUAUAAAAAGAAGAAACUUCUGGAAUUUCAAAACAAAUGUGUUUGACUAGUAAAGAUUUGGAUAAAUAACAGGAGUUACUUUGGGCUAUAGCUACGUGCAGAUUUAUUUCCUUGUGGCUUCCUAUGUUAAUUCUUAUUAAUUAUACACUUAAAUAUGUUUUUAGUCUCAGGAAGAUUUUAUAUUUGAUUAUUUUUGAAUAAACAUUAUUAUUAUUAUUACCUUAAUUUCCAUUAAAUAAAUUAACUGUAAUCAAUAAAGUAAUCGUUUAAUUGUUAAUAAAUUAUCAAGUAUGA